rnacentral:rRNA from 1 species
AGGACGAACGCUGGCGGCGUGCCUAAAACAUGCAAGUCGAACGGGGUCCAUCCUUCGGGAGAAGACCUAGUGGCGAACGGGUGAGUAACACGUGAGAAACCUGCCUUGAAGUCUGGGAUAAGCCAGGGAAACUUGGUCUAAUACCGGAUACCUUCACAACUUCUUAUGUAGAUGUGAAGAAAGUUUUUCGCUUCAAGAGGGUCUCGCGUCCUAUCAGCUUGUUGGUGGGGUAAUGGCCUACCAAGGCUUCGACGGGUAGCUGGUCUGAGAGGAUGGUCAGCCACACUGGGACUGAGACACGGCCCAGACUCCUACGGGAGGCAGCAGUUAGGAAUCUUGCGCAAUGGACGAAAGUCUGACGCAGCAACGCCGCGUGAGGGAUGAAGGCUCUCGGGUUGUAAACCUCUUUCAGCAGGAACGAAAUGACGGUACCUGCAGAAGAAGCACCGGCCAACUACGCGCCAGCAGCCGCGGUAA